rnacentral:rRNA from 1 species
UACGGAGGAUGCGAGCGUUAUCCGGAUUUAUUGGGUUUAAAGGGUGCGUAGGCGGAUCGUUAAGUCAGUGGUCAAAUUGAGGGGCUCAACCCCUUCCCGCCAUUGAAACUGGCGAUCUUGAGUGGAAGAGAAGUAUGCGGAAUGCGUGGUGUAGCGGUGAAAUGCAUAAAUAUCACGCAGAACCCCGAUUGCGAAGGCAGCAUGCCGGCUUCCUACUGACGCUGAAGCACGAAAGCGUGGGGAUCGAACAGG